rnacentral:rRNA from 1 species
UACGUAGGGUGCGAGCGUUAAUCGGAAUUACUGGGCGUAAAGCGUGCGCAGGCGGUUUUGUAAGCCAGAUGUGAAAUCCCCGGGCUCAACCUGGGAAUGGCAUUUGGGACUGCAAGGCUGGAGUGCGGCAGAGAAGACUGGAAUCCUGGUGAGCAGUGAAAUGCGUAGAUAUCAGGAGGAAUACCGAUGGCGAAGGCAGGUCUCUGGGCUGACACUGACGCUCAUGCACGAAAGCGUGGGGAGCAAACAGG